rnacentral:misc_RNA from 1 species
UCCUGUUUGACACAGGCAGUUUCCUUAGAGUCCCCAACUAAAUGAUGGUAACUAAGGAUGAGGGUUGCGCUCGUUGCGGGACUUAACCCAACAUCUCACGACACGAGCUGACGACAGCCAUGCAGCACCUGUCACUAUUCCGGCCGAACCGAAGCUUACGUUACAUAAGCGGCGAAUAGGAUGUCAAGAGCUGGUAAGGUUCUUCGCGUUGCCUCGAAUUAAACCACAUGCUCCACCGCUUGUGCGGGUCCCCGUCAAUUCCUUUGAGUUUUAAUCUUGCGACCGUACUCCCCAGGCGGGAUGCUUAACGCGUUAGCUACGAUACCGAAACUUACGUCCCGACAUCUAGCAUCCAUCGUUUAGGGCGUGGACUAC